GAAACUUCAUCAGCUGUCCAGC
rnacentral:siRNA from 1 species